rnacentral:rRNA from 1 species
AACGAACGCUGGCGGCAUGCCUAACACAUGCAAGUCGAACGAAGGCUUCGGCCUUAGUGGCGCACGGGUGCGUAACGCGUGGGAAUCUGCCCUUUGGUUCGGAAUAACAGCUGGAAACGGCUGCUAAUACCGGAUGAUGACGAAAGUCCAAAGAUUUAUCGCCAGAGGAUGAGCCCGCGUUGGAUUAGGUAGUUGGUGGGGUAAAGGCCUACCAAGCCGACGAUCCAUAGCUGGUCUGAGAGGAUGAUCAGCCACACUGGGACUGAGACACGGCCCAGACUCCUACGGGAGGCAGCAGUGGGGAAUAUUGGACAAUGGGCGCAAGCCUGAUCCAGCAAUGCCGCGUGAGUGAUGAAGGCCCUAGGGUUGUAAAGCCCUUUUACCCGGGAAGAUAAUGACAGUACCGGGAGAAUAAGCCCCGGCUAACUCCGUG